UCAGUCAUGUUUUGUCGUUGUGGCACUCUGAGACGGCGAACUGCCUCUGAGCUCUCUCGCCGCCGCCGUAUGCCACAAGAAUACAUUAUACUUCAUGCCGCAUAAUUUCCACUGCAAACACACUCAUCUAUCAACGAUAUCCUUCACCUCCGUUCGUCUCAUUGUUGUCCUGCUCAGGAUUAUUCAAAUAUGGGAUUUUUCUGACUUAUUCUGAUUUUAGAUUUUGCAAAAAAGCUUUUUCACGUAUGUUUGUUCAAUGGAAAUUUAUGUAAUGAUCACGUGGUAUUUAACCAUUAAACGCAGUACUUUGUUUAAAAUAUAAAUACAAAAUGAAUAAAUGGUUGUGACCUCACAAGCAAAAUAGAUAAAAAAAAGAAUAAACCCCUUUUAAUAAUUUAUAAGUUUAACGUUAUGCGACGUCGGAAGAACACUUACACUGCACGUGUUCGCGUGCACAAUCUUUGCAUUAAAAAUUAAACGUUAAAAAAGUAGUGACUUGUGGGUGAACAUUGCAUGUGAUAUCAUGAAAGAAUGUUACUUAAAGGUGACUAACAUAAAAAGUGGAGAGAACGCAGACAGAAAAUGUGAGAAAAUACUCAAAGAAGUGGGAUGGAAUAAUGCAUUUCAUAAACUACUUAAUAAAACACUUGGCUUAUAUGAAAGCAUAAUGAGAUGGUGCAUAAACCUUCAUGUUAUUCAUGUUUAACUAUUUGAUCCGUACGGGUGGUCAAGUAUGAUUUUGAAACACAAUAACACAUUGUUAAACAAUAAAACAAAUUAAAGACGAUCCAUCACGAUUAAACAUUACAUUGAAAAAUAUUUAGACCCAGUGGGUAGUUUACAGUGAAUGCAACUACAUAUUUUGACAAGACAUCAUAAUCUCAAUUUUAUAAGAUUUUAAAAAUAUAUUACUUAUAAAAUGUAUGCUGUACAAUGUCGAUAGUGACGAAGUAUUUAGAGUUUCCAACUAAACUGGAUUUAGUCACAGCAUAUUAUUUAUCAUUAGAGUUGUCGACAAACUAUUUAAACGCAUCUGGAAAGUCCUUAAAUGGAAAUCGCAGGCAUUUAGAUUUUACAGUUUUACUUUAAUACUUAAGAUCUCUGUUUUAUCGUUCUAUUCGUACGCGAUCAUUUAUUCCGCAACAAAAUUAAUGUCAGUUACGAAGGUUAACAUAAGAGGGAGAUGUUUUAUGAUUGCAGUUCUUCGUUACUUUCUAAAGAAAUUGUUUUUUUUUUCUGAAAAUAUGAUAUCAGUUUUCUGGACUAUUAUUUUGAAAAUAAUAAUGUUGUUAACAUUAAAACAAAAAAUGAAUAGUAUGUUUUAAUUAGUUAUUUGCAAUUAUUGGUUAAAAAGGAUUGAUGAAAUUUGAUUACGGCUUUUUAUAAAUUUUAGUUCGUAUCAUGUUUUUAAAAAGCGUCUACACAGACAUAGAUGUCUGUAAUAACGCGUAUCUAUACGUUCACAACGAGAACCUCCGUAUCCAAUCGUCGUAUAAAGAAUUGAAAAAAAAGAAUUGUACUCAUGUCUCAUUGUUGACUUCGAAUCUUUGUGUGUGGGAAAUGGACGGGAAAUAGCACCACAGGAAUGUUGUCGACCAAAUUAUUUGAUUUGUGGGGAACAAUAAGACGAAAUUAUUUUUAAUGUUCGAUAACAAAUUGGAUAAAAAAUUCUGUUCCAUUAGUAAAUUAUAUUUUAAUAAUUAUUAGUAUUAUUAUAUUAGGAUUAUAAAAACGCUUUUUUAAAAAUCAAAGUUUAAAAUGUAAACUAUCAGUCUGUGAAAAGUUCAUUUCUGCAUUAAUUUUUUUUUAUUCUAUAUAACACAAGAAUUUUAUAGUGUGCCCUGCGGCGACAUUCACUGUCAACCUUAAAAAAAACCUUCAGAAAAUCCCUAACAAAUUUAACAUCACAGCCGUGCAAAACUUGCCAUAUCGUUUCUACGAAAUUAAUUGAAGUGUACACGAGAAUUCUUCUUAUCGAACACGAAAAAAACAAAUGGAUAUAAUAAUAUGUGUACUUGAGUGCAACAAACGUGCUUUGAACAUUAAUUACACUCAUAUGGGAAUCGUAUAAGUGUAUAAAACACAGCGGGACAUAACUCUAAAUAAGUCGCUAAUUUCUGUAACGCUAUUAUAAAAGUAAUAUAAAAUAGAUAUUAUUAGAUUCUAUAGUGAAACUGGCUUCAUCCAAACAUACAU